UACGUAGGGUGCGAGCGUUGCCCGGAUUCAUUGGGCGUAAAGCGCGCGCAGGCGGCUGCACGCGUCCCGCGUGAAAUCGCCCGGCUCAACCGGGCGGGGUCGCGGGAUACGGUGCGUCUGGAGCACGGGAGGGGGCAGUGGAAUUCCCGGUGUAGUGGUGGAAUGCGUAGAGAUCGGGAGGAACACCAGUGGCGAAGGCGACUGCCUGGACCGUGGCUGACGCUGAGGCGCGAAAGCGUGGGGAGCGAUCCGG
rnacentral:rRNA from 1 species